rnacentral:rRNA from 1 species
AGUGAACGCUGGCGGUAGGCCUAACACAUGCAAGUCGAACGGCAGCACAGUAAGAGCUUGCUCUUACGGGUGGCGAGUGGCGGACGGGUGAGGAAUACAUCGGAAUCUACUUUUUCGUGGGGGAUAACGUAGGGAAACUUACGCUAAUACCGCAUACGACCUACGGGUGAAAGCAGGGGAUCUUCGGACCUUGCGCGAUUGAAUGAUCCGAUGUCGGAUUAGCUAGUUGGCGGGGUAAAGGCCCACCAAGGCGACGAUCCGUAGCUGGUCUGAGAGGAUGAUCAGCCACACUGGAACUGAGACACGGCCCAGACUCCUACGGGAGGCAGCAGUGGGGAAUAUUGGACAAUGGGCGCAAGCCUGAUCCAGCCAUACCGCGUGGGUGAAGAAGGCCUUCGGGUUGUAAAGCCCUUUUGUUGGGAAAGAAAAGCAGCAGGUUAAUACCCCGCUGUUCUGACGGUACCCAAAGAAUAAGCACCGGCUAACUUCGUG